rnacentral:lncRNA from 1 species
AAUAAUUUUGCUUUGAAUAUUUAUUGUUCAGCUUCAAAAAUUAUAUUGAUUGAUUGGUGCUAUAUCCUGCAUAAAAGCUGAAAUUUUUUAUUUAAAUAGUUCUUUGGUAGAGACAUUAGAAUUUAAUUCACAUAAAGCCAUAUAUCUGCUUUUAGAGUUAGAUAUAGUUUGAUAGUUUCACACACAUUUCUAAUAGGAUUUUUGUUGUUGUUGUUUGGUACCAUAUUGAACUCAGGGGCCCUUGACCACAGAGCAACAUCCCCAGCCCUAUUUUGUGUUUUAUUUAGAGACAGGAUCUCCCUGAGUUGCUCAGUGCCUUGCUUUUGCUGAGGCUGGCUUUGAACUCAUGAUCCUCCUGCCUCAGCCUCCCAAGUCACUGGGAUACAGGCAUGCGCCAACAAUGCUCAGCUCUGAUAUGGAUGUUUUUGUUGUGUUUUUUACUGAUUCAAUCUCUUAUUAAGUCUUUUUAGAAUUUCUAUGUCUAAGUCAGUUUUGAUGGAAGUUUUAUAGGAAUUUGUUCACAUUUAGUUGUUCAUAAUAUACCCUUAAAAUUCUCUAAAUUUUUU